CCCCGACUUGCACCUUAGACAAGGCCCCGUUAGGCUGGGAUACCCCAGAGAUGUACGGGAGGGAAACCUGGGAGGAUUGGGCAUGAUGUGCCAUUAGCUGGACAUCUAGGCUCCCGCUGCACAGCUCAUAGGAUCACUCAAAAUUUAUUUUGGCCUAAUUUCAACUGAGAUGUGCAGGUAUACUCUAGUACUUGUGACACAUGUCAACGGGUAGG